CAGUUAGAACGCUCGUAGUCGGAUUUCGGGGCGGGCCGACCGGUCUGCCGAUGGGUACGCACUGGUCGGCGCGUCCUUCCUUCCGGAGACCGUGCCUACUCUUAACUGAGCGGGGGCGGGAGACGGAUCGUUUACUUUGAAAAAAUCAGAGUGUUUCAAGCAGGCAGCUCGCUCUUGCAUGGAUUAGCAUGGGAUAAUGAAAUAGGACUUUGGUGCUAUUUUGUUGGUUUCGAACACCGAAGUAAUGAUUAACAGGGACAGUCAGGGGCACUCGUAUUCCGCCGAGAGAGGUGAAAUUCUCAGACCAGCGGAAGACGAACUACUGCGAAAGCAUUUGCCAGGGAUGUUUUCACUGAUCAAGAACGAAAGUUAGGGGAUCGAAGAGGAUCAGACACCCUCGUAGUCUUAACCAUAAACCAUGCCGACUAGGGAUUGGGGGAUGUUCACAUAUUGACUCCCUCAGCACCUUACGGGAAACUAAAGUCUUUGGGUUCCGGGGGGAGUAUGGUCGCAAGGCUGAAACUUAAAGGAAUUGACGGAAGGGCACCACCAGGUGUGGAGCCUGCGGCUUAAUUUGACUCAACACGGGGAGACUUACCAGGUCCAGACAUUGUGAGGAUUGACAGAUUGAGAGCUC
rnacentral:rRNA from 1 species